rnacentral:rRNA from 1 species
UACGGGGGGGGCAAGCGUUGUUCGGAAUUACUGGGCGUAAAGGGUCUGUAGGUGGCCAACUAAGUCAGACGUGAAAUCCCUCAGCUUAACUGGGGAACUGCGUCUGAUACUGGUUGGCUUGAGUGCAGGAGAGGGAUGCGGAAUUCCAGGUGUAGCGGUGAAAUGCGUAGAUAUCAGGAGGAACACCGAUGGCGAAGGCAGGUCUCUGGGCCACUACUGACGCUGAGAAGCGAAAGCAUGGGGAGCGAACAGG